GCCAGCAUGGUGUAGUGGUUUGAGCUUUGUACUAUGACUGGAAACCCAGGUUCGAAUCCUGGCUUGGCC